rnacentral:rRNA from 1 species
UACGGAGGGUGCAAGCGUUGUCCGGAAUCACUGGGCGUAAAGGGCGCGUAGGCGGCUCAUGAAGGCUGUGGUGAAAGUCCGGGGCUCAACCUCGGAUCGGCCGUGGCGACUCGUGGGCUGGAGCACUGUAGAGGCGGGUGGAAUUCCCGGUGUAGCGGUGGAAUGCGUAGAGAUUCGGAAGAACACCAGUGGCGAAGGCGGCCCGCUGGGCAGUGGCUGACGCUGAGGCGCGACAGCGUGGGGAGCAAACAGG